GUUGCUCGUUUGCUUUCGCUGGCAGUGCAGCUCCUUCAUUGUUUUGCACAGUUGUUAGCAUUCAUUAGACUGUUGUGUAAUUUCAAAAGUGGGAGAUGGCUAAGGCCAAAUCAGCUUUUAAAGGAAGUCUCUUCUUUUUACUGCUGUGGGUAUUUGGAUGGCUCUGGAACUAACAAAAAUCCCAUUGUUUUCUCCCACUGUAGUAAAGCUGGCUGGCAUGCUAGCCAAUUAACGUGUCUGAAAAUGUAUUACAGAGUAAACGUUAUUGCCACUGCAGCUCUGCCAGAGCCUCCUUGCCCUGCGCUACCAUCCCUGUGGCUGGCCAAAUGGCUACGUAGGUGAGAAGAGGAAAGUGAAUUUUAAAAGAAGCUAAUUAAAUGCCACCUUUGUCACCUGGAUAUCUCACAUCAAAACCCUUUGGAAAACUAGUGUUGUGUAUUAGAUGUGCUUCACAGGUAAGCACAAUGUAGACUGCAGCAAGAAAAACGUUCUACAGCCCACAUGUCACAAAAUACUCCAAUGUGCUUUUAUUAGAUUCAUCUGGCUUCUGGAAAAUAAAGAUAAACAAGAAUCAAAGCUCUAAGUUUUAUCAACAUGCUUGCACUUCAAUGGACUUUUGAACCAGAGCAACGAGGUGGCUGGUUAUAGGGAGACCAAAACCAAAAGAAAAUAAUGAUUUGUGAUUUCUGUAAUAUCUGCCACUUCUCGGUUCUGCUGAUUGGGGUGUUUCCCAAGACUUCUGUGAAAGCUAUAAAUGUAGGCACGUGAGCUGCCUCUCCCAGACAGCAGCACCGGACUGAAGGAAGUGCUGUUGCCUCUCCCCAUCCGAGGAGCUGACAUCCAGGUGAGACUCACGCUUUUUGCAUGAAAACUUCCAGUGGCUUCCUGGGCAGCUGCUGUGAAAUGCAAUUGAAGAGAAGGAGGUUUAAGGGUUGGGAUGAAAGCUGCAACAUGUAUGUGAGGGUCUGAUGUCUGUGUUCGCAGGAACUUACCCCGUCCUUCAGGUGAUCAGAAGACAUCUGCAGGAUAAACACACCUUCCACAGCGAGAGGGUGAAGAGAGCCAUUGCUGCAAAAUUUCAGGAGGUGACAGUGAGAGUAUUUCACCAGUUAAUCUUGGGCAUAGGAUCUUUAUGUUGUGUCAGCACAAUUAACUGGCUUAUUCUUCUUUCUUUUUCUGGAGGCAGAAGGUCAUUAUACUAGUGCUCAAUCAACCAACAAAUUAAAGUUCAGGUAGCCACAGCCUCCAUAAAUUAUUUAAUUAUAGCUGUGAAAAAGUGCUUGAAUAUUUUUAAUCACAUAGUGCAAUUUUUUAAAAUGUCAAUUAUGUUGCUGAGGUCUUGCAAUUUGAGUCUGACUUUUAAUCUUUCUUGGGCAGAUCUGAUCUUCUCCCAUCCCUUCCCAGAAUCAACUAGAGUAACUGCUUCUUUCCCUCAGGCUGUUAUACAGCAAGAAACCCAAACUACUGCAGUCCUACUGAGAUGGGAAA